GAUAUAACGAUUGAAGAAGAGUGGCAGGGCCAAAAACAGAGAUGUCGCCGGUAGUGGUUGUCGCGACUAGCUGACUGUUGCACCAGUAUUACGCUGGUUUUAGUUUUCAGGUGCAUCGUUCCCGAGCAUGUCGUUCUGUAAUGCUCGCAAUAAUCAUUUAACAUUCACCUGUGCAUAUGUAUCAGCAAGUGUCCAAAAGUAUUUGCAGAUACUGGCGAUACCUUUAUCGGAGAUAUGUGAUUGCGUUUAGAUUCAGUUUCAGCGUUAGAUCCUCAAUUUGCGGAAUCGGUUCUUUCGUGGUCAACGCAAGUUUCAAUUUAUUACGUACAGUUAAUAACACUUUUGAAAAGAAAUUCUCAUCGCUUAAAAAGAUGUGUCGCAAAACGGUGAACGGUCUUAAACGUCAAAUAUUUGGUGAGCGAAUGCGCGCGAUUAUGUCACCGCGUUCUAAGUCGACUCAAGAUUCUUAUUUGCUCCGCUAUCUUUUUCUAUUUCGUCUUUGCCGACACGGCGCGUCUUCCCUCUGACAACCCGCUGUCCUACAUAGACUCCAUCUCUUUCAUUCUCGCUUCUUGUUUCUCUUCUUCCCUAUUUUAGGUUUUACCCUUCUGCAGUUCUCCCAUCCCACAUUUCAUUUCCCCCUCCUUUCUUUUCGUCCUCCUGUUCUCUUUUUAUAUCUUACUUUCCAUUCCUAUCUUUUUUUAAUUUCUUUCUAAUUCCUUCUGUUCGUCCUUUUUAUACUUUCUCGUUUAUUUUCUCUCUUUCGUCUUUUUCUCUUCUCUCAUUCCAUUUCCCCCUAUUACCUCUUAAUAUCUCUUUUUGCCUUUCUUCUUGAUUCCUGAUUGUCUUCCGUUUCCUUCUUUGAUCUCUUGUUGCGGAAGCAAAAGUCGAUCCUUGAAAGUCAUCCUUGACUUACUGUCGAACUUGCUUCUUUAUCGACUCGUUAAUGUUGCAAUUUUUGUAUUCCAACAAAAGUCAGCCACCGCUCGAUUUAUCUUGAGACAUCUAACGUGGUUGACAACGUAAGUAGUCUGUUCACAACUAUUGGUUUCUCAUGUGCCAUGCCAUUUACCGUCAACGAACGAGGUUCAAAGAGAAGUUCGCCUUGGUCUGGGAAAAUAGAGAGGGCUGUCUGUACGCGACACUUCGUUCUCGCAAAGGAUAUUGAGAUGGAACGUUAUCCAGUAAGAGAUCCAAUAAGUAAUCACAAAACGUUAUUGUCUAAUUUCCUUAAAUCAUCAGGAUAGUUAUAAAAAUAAGGCUGAUCACGAACGGAUAAAGGUAAUCCAUAAGGAACGGUAUAAUUGAGUUGCAAUUUUGCUAAGAGUUGUUGGAUUAUUAUUAUUUUGAUGGUGCUUAUAAUAAGUGAUAAAUAUACUGAUCUAAAUAAAAGUUAUUGCUUUUAUGUUUGAAACUUACGUUUGAAAUUUAGCUCUUUGCGACAAGUAUAAAACAUAAAACCUUUCUAAUACUAAAUUGGAUACAUGUGUUUUAUUAAGUGCUCAAAAUGCACAUACAUAUCGAUUCUACUUCUAAUAUUAUGACGAACAACUACUAUUGUAUGUGUAUAUAUACAUAUGUAUAUAAUAAUGUUUGCUUAACUGCCACGGUUUUUGUCCGGGUUUUUAAACCCCGGGUUGAAAAAACGAGAGUUGGAAAAAUGGACGUUACGUAUUGCAUGUGAACAAUCACACGAGGUACGGUCGUCAAAUUCGAUGUCCAUACUACGUCGACGAGGGAUGACAAACGCUAGAACGCCCGUUGAACUUUCGAUACGCAUGUUGUAUUCCAUGUAUGUAUGUAAUUGUAGGAGUUUGAUCAAACGAAUUAAUGUCCGUUUUUGAUGAAAUAACGUACAACGUUUCUUUCUAUUUUGCCAAGCAUUAGUCAAACGUAACCGAGAUAUGCGACCAUGACUAAAAAUAGUACCGUGACAAUUACAAUAUAAUUACAACAGUAUUUCUUCAUCGAGAAGGCGCUGUGAUCUUCAAUUAAAUACCUAUUUCGUUUUAUCUAAAAUUUAAUAUGUUCAUAUUUGAUUUUUCCACGAGUUUUUAUUUCAUUUUCCUAUGUUAUGAACGUUCGUUCUAUUUUUCUAAGGAAGAACUCCAACUCUUAACUUCUAUUUAGUAAAUGACUUUCUGUAUACUUUUGUAUGUCUUAAUUACACGAAAACUAGAGACAAAUCGGUAAUCCAAUUCCGAUCUGACGGUUAAAGUAAAGGGAGAAACAAAUUCUGCGCUUUAAUGUUGACAGGAAAGCGAAUCACAGUCGGAGUUUGAGUUUCCUCGGAAUUGCACCGUUUUUUAAUUCCCGUGCUUCAUCGUCGUAGGAACAACCUAAAGGCCACAUAGCGGGAUCAACUGAUCGGUUUACUUAAUUUGCGAGCGUAACUUUAGAACGAAAUUGAAGUCGCCGCGUCACGUGGUCGAGCUGGAAUUUAAAAUAUGCUUGGGUCGUCUUGCUUGAGAGCCUUUGAGACUUUCGGUGAUUGAAACUGACGAACGUUGCUCGGACACGGCGUAUCGUAUGAUCGAAUAACGUGGUAGAUCGAGUGUGUGUCAAUCGACACGUUGCUGCACAUUGUGUCGAUAUUUGCUCUUCUUUCGACGUGACCGUUUGUGUAUGAUGUUACAUUCAUUGAUUGCAUUUUAAACGUGUUUCCACGAAAAGCACUCUGGAAAAGUGAAUAAGAGGGCUGUUUGUUUUGUAAUCAAUCUCUCUGUAUUUAUAUCUUUUUUGUGGCUGCUCGAUUUCCUUUGUAGAAAAAAUUCAGCGAAUAAAUAUUUGAAAAUUUCGGAUUUGUUUGAUAAUUUAAUCGUCUCUGUAAAAAUAUAAACGUAUAACGAGCGGAGCAAUAUUAAUCAGGAUUGGAAUUCAAUCGGAAAUUAUUGAUCUACUUUUCAAAUUACACAAUUAAUUUCGCAGCCAAAUAUCGUUUAUUCAAUUUUCCGAACACACGACUGCAUUCUCAUAUUAUUAGACUCAUACGCGAAUGAUUCGAAUUUGCGAAUUGUUCAACCAGUUCGACGUGUUACGAAAAAUUAAAACAUUUUAAAACUGGAUAUCGCGCUCUUGAACUUUGAAUUUCAAACUUUAUUUUGAACCUUAAUCUUAUUAGCUUGCAGUAAACCAAUUUCUAUCGCGGUAUAAACGGCUCUAUGAACGUGUUUGAAGCUAGUGGAAGAAUAACUUGUAAAAAAAUCCACAUAUCCUGUAAACGAGCAGACAUCUUUUUCUUUAAAUCGAUACUUAUAUACAUUUCAUAGGCAGCUGUAUACGACAUUUCAAUUUUUGUUCAAUUUUUAUUCCCCUUGUACUUUCCUCCUGCUUUGUCGUUUCAACAUAAGAUGCGUACCUUUUUACGUACUUGUCGGCAUCAAACCUGUCGGAAACGUUUGCGUUCACCUGAAGCAUUGCGUCUCGUAUAUCUCGUAGAAUGCUUUUUUCGAGUCUUGCAAUUCUCCUAGCGACUUCCUUGCAUACGCAUGAAGUAUAACAAUUCUACGAGAAUUUGCUGAAAGACGUUGAAAUCGUUCGACCAAAAUGGCACAUUUUCAAGCGAGACAUUUUUGAGGUUUCAAUAAAAGCUUCGAGCGUGUCAGCGUUCACAUUUCUUUCGAUGUAAUGUAUUCGAUAUAGAAAUGAAAUUAUAUUAAGCCAGGCUAUAGUUUGGUAUGUGGAAUAUUUGCAACUACCUCUAGUUACAAAAGAGAAUGAAAAUGUUAAUCGGAUUUUAUUGGAACUUCUUUCUGUGACGAGGAAAGUAAAUCAAUAAUACGUAUGUAGGUGUAUGGACCGGGAAGGAAUCAAACAAAUUGUAGAUUUGUUAAGUUAAUGUCACGUAUUUUUUAAUGUCGUUACACCGAUCGAUAAAUAGAUAUUUCGCCUGAUAAGCGUAAUGGUCAUCUUUGAUUAGAAAUCAAACAAGGUCUGAUAUUACACUUUUCGAUAGGUAUUAGUUAACUGAAGUAAUCUAUUUUCUUACUGCAAGUGCACUAAACCGAUGAUUCUGCACAAUCGAUAAUAUAAAUUUAUGGAAAUUUGCACGCUUUUGAGAUAGCAUAAGUUAAAUUAGAAAUUCCGUUCGAAGCGUGGAUAUCAAUAGUUGAGUGCCUUUAUAAAACCGAUACCAAAUUCUGUUAAAUGAUGCACUAAAAAAGACAUUUUCAGAAACCGCUUGAAUCGACGUAAAAGCGUUAAUUUAAAAUUUAAGUAUUUUUACGAAAAAUUUAUAGAAAUCGAACGAUGGAUCUACAAGUUAAAAACAGUCGGAAGUAGGUUAAUCUUAAUUUCAUGUUUCGUAUUUAAUACCGAAAACCAAAUUUUAUCAUAUAUUUUGAAAUUGUGUCGAGAAAAAAAAUUAAAAUUUUGUAUGGCGUAUAUCACAUUGUUGUGAUGUUGCUUUUCGCGUUAAUUGUUUACUUGAAUUCAGGAGAAAAAUAUUUGACGGUAAAACAUGAUACAAUCAUCGAUGGUUAUUAAUAAUACUUAUCUUGCUAGGAGAUUGGUAGGAAUCAUAAUGAUUCUCUAAUAUAUACCUUCGAUAUUUUGUGCCUUUGUGUAGUCAAAUCUACUUUUUCUAAGCAAUAUUUAUUCUUCAAACAGAAGUAGAUUGGACGAAACGUCAUCUAUGAAAUUCUUAUCACUUUUUCAUUAACUCAAGCAAAUAUUCAUCUUCUUCGCUGCGCAUCCAAUCAAACUGCAAACAGUUCAAGCUUUGUUAAUUCGUGUUUUUCAAGAACACGAUAUUUUCUAAUUGUCCUCUAUUAUUGGUAAUUUGAGCGCCAUGUAUCAGCAAAGUAGUAGCAACGUUAAAAAGGUGUUGAAGUGAACACAAGUAUAGGUUUAUUGAUUAGAAUAUUUGCGUUUCAACAGCACUUAACGUGUAUCGAUGUAUACAGAAACAUACUAUAAGUAUCGCGUGCUUUAUGAACUCAUUAUACUAACAAAUUUUUUUACUUCACAGAGCAUUAGUAAUGAGCUACGAGCUCAUGUACUGUUAUCGGUCUAAAUUUUUAUUAUUUUUAUAGCAACCUGGUUCAGUACCUCGAUCAAAGAAUAUUUCUGUAUCGAUAACGCAAAUCAUAUAGUUCCCACGAAGUUUAACGUCAAUAACGUUACUAUUUAUUUUGUUGUCAGUGUACAGUUUUAAUAAUAUUCGAUACAUGUCCCAUUUAUUUAAAUAUAAAUUAUAAUAAACACCUGUUUUCUUCAUAUACUUUAAAUUUAAUUUCCAUAAAAGUAAGAAUGUACGUACGUAUUGUAUUAUUACUAAUUAUAGAAUUUGAAAACAAACAUAACGUUAAUUAUAUUAUAUAAUUGUGUUACGUGAACUAACACGAUUGUAUUUGUCCCAAAAGAAAUAUUACGGCUGAUGCGAACUUUCGAGUUUCGGAAACUUAUCAAAAUUAGUUUGUUGUAUCAUUUCCUGUACUGCUUACAAGUAUAUUUUGACUUAAUACCAGUUUUACUAUUUCCUUUCUUCCUAUACUCUAGUCAGAUUAUAAAUCCUAUUUACGAUGAUGUAUCGAGACGUUGACUUAUGCGAUAUAAAUCACAUAAAUCUGGUUAAAAGUAGAUGCGUGUAAUUAAUACUCAUCAUAACACAGAAAUAAUAGUUAUAAUUUUCGAACUUAAUAGAUGAUGGAUGCGUAUCAUUAUUCGUUAUGUAGAUGCGAGUUUUUAUCGAAUUCUGUCUAUUGUAUUUAUUGUAUUGGUUUUAUUACUAACAUCAAUGGCGUUGUUAUAUUCGAUCUCGAUGCAAGGUGAACCAGAAAACAAUUUAUUCAACUGCAAUAACUAAUAUCGAUGCUUGGGUUCGAACAAUAGACAUUUAAAUGUCAAGUAAAGUGAAUUUUGUUUACAAAUUAUAUUUCUAUCGGUAAAUUGCUAUUUAUUAAAUAAUAUCUACUACUGCUAUUUAUAAAAUAUGUACGCUCUCCGUGGGAAUCUUGACACGCGGAUUGCGCGGAGAAUUAAAUAUUUUUAGAUCAACUACGGUUUGCUAAAAGCUAAAUAUGUUUGGAGCGCAGCAUUGAAAUUUCGCACAGGUAAAUAUGAAAUUAAUUUCAUAAGAUGUAUAUUGGAGGAAUAUUCGUUUAAUUAAUUCUUAGUAAUAUGAAGGGAGCAAAGGGUAGACAUAAUUUUCUCUAAAUUACAAUCAAUUUACAAUGAAAUAUUUAAAAUAAAAAUACGGGAAUGUAAAUCUCUGUUUUCGAAGACAAUAAUGCGCGUGAUACGAGACGAGUAAAUACAAAUAAAAUGGCCAAUGUGAGUUUAAUUUAAUUGUUGCUUCAGUAUGCCAUGGUUCAUAAGUCGCUAGCUGUGUUAAUCGAUAAUUUUAAUACAGUUAUGCAUAAUUUAGUUCCAUAAAGUCAGAAACAGGCAUCCUUUGUACCUGUAUUGACGCUUUGAACAGUUCAUGUGCUCUAAACGGGUAUCGUACUGGUCCUAUACCAGGUGUUUCAGGAUAAAUGUGAUCUAAGAUAAUUCCUAAAUUAAUUAAUGGUUCUAUGGUAUAGCAACGAACAUUUUGUUUGUCCUAAGAAAUAUAAUAGAAUAAAAAUUAUGUUUCCUAAAAUAUUUCAAAUUUUCUUGUAGGGAAGUACAGAAAAUGUCUAUUCCUUCUUUUGCCUUCAAUCCGAGAAUAUUUAUGAAUUUAGUUGGUUGUUGUUUACGGAACAUGCGUUAAUACCGCCAAAAAACAUCGAAAUCUUGAUUGUUUUGUUCAGUAUAUUGAAAUUCAACGAAGAGAGUAGAUCUUCGUGCUAUGGAAACGGCAUGCGAUUCGAGUACUUAUUGGAUGUCCAAUAAUAAUAUCUCUACAGCAAGAGUCUGCUACGAGAAGUCAUACAGAUGAAUCCAUUAGCAGUCCUCGGAUAAAAGUUACAAACUCGUCCUCCACCCUCCGUAAGACUACGCUCUACAACUCUUUAUCUUUAUUAAGAUAUCUUUUAAAACUUGUAACAACGACUAAUAGUAUUAUUAUCUGCUGUUUUACACAUCUAUUAAAUUAAUAAAAGAUGAAGAGAAGUAGGUUCAAGAAUUUCUUUGUAAAAACUGAAAAAUUAAAGUCCCAUGACAAACUUCGAUAUUCUGACGCAAAAGUUCUGAAACAUUUUCGAAGUACCAAAUUUAUCUUCGGACAUCUCAUAGAACAUGAUGUCAACGAGUUUUUCACUCUAGCGAGAAAGGAGAGAAAGUUCGCGUGAACAAGGUGUUUCAUGACCAUUUUCUACUUUCGUCCUGCGUUACCGAGCCUAUCAACCAUUUAUAAAAAAUGAUAAGGAAGAACGGCAGGCCCGGUCAGAUACAAAUUACCGGUGUGUUGCGUCAAGUUAGAUGGAAACUAGCCUUGGGAAUUGAGGGAGGCGCACAGGGAAAUCGCUAUACACCUUUUACCUCCAUCUACUGCAUCCUGCUUACUAAACAUUUAUCCUCUCUGUGCGAGUCCUUGCCCUUUCUAGCUUUUCUGUAACAGGACCAGUGUAACAUUGGUCAAGAACUGCAAGUUACUCCAAUCUCCUUGGUCAGUGUGUACAUUCUGCUGUCAAACUCAUUGACAUGCAGCAGAUACUCGAUCGAAACAUUGUUUCACGCCACCGCGACGAUUCUCCUUUUCGCUUAGCGUUCGCUUUGUCCCAAAGAAGAGGAACGUUCACGAAAG